AUAAUACAUCAUACAGUACUUACUACUGCUCCCAUGCUACAACAGGUCAUUGCCUCCCUGAUCUGUCGAGCGACAACAUUUUACUUGCUCUAAGAAUGUCAUCGAUCAUCGAUUUUGUUUUGGGAUGCGCGAUGCGCGCGGAUGAAGGACUCACCGCUAUUGAAAGAAAUAUCUUGUCCUUUGUGGAUGUGUUAGAGACAAUAAGGAGAUCUCGUAAACCACCAAAACAGAAAAGACAAUCAAAUAAGAACAAGAUGAAACACCACCGCCAGGGAGAUUAGUGUGGGUGUGACCGCGCUGGUGUGGGUGACAACAUCAACUGCUGCCUAAUCCUAGUCAGUGGGGGGUUGCAGUUACACUGAGGUCCAUGGUGAGGUCAGCUGUGAUCACGCGGUAAUCCUCUAGGAGAGGCCGGCAGACUGGAGGAAGU